CAAUAGCGUAUAUUUAAGUUGUUGCAGUUAAAAAGCUCGUAGUUGGAUUUCUGGUUGAAGCGACCGGUCGGGCGUUGAUUCGUCUGCACUGGAGUCGGUUUUGGCCAUCCUCUAGGAAAGUGCGUCUGGUAUUAAGUUAUCGGGCGUAUGAUCCUGGUCUUUUACUGUGAAAAAAUUAGAGUGUUUAAAGCAGGCCUUCGCCUUGAAUACAUUAGCAUGGAAUAAUAAGAUAGGACUUUGGUCUAUUUUGUUGGUUUGCAGACCGAAGUAAUGAUUAAUAGGGAUAGUUGGGGGUAUUUAUAUUCCGAUGUCAGAGGUGAAAUUCUUAGAUUUUCGGAAGAUAAACUUAUGCGAAAGCACUUACCAAGGAUGUUUUCAUUAA
rnacentral:rRNA from 1 species